ACAUGCAGUCGAGGGGUAUAGUUCUUCGGAAUUAGAGACCGGCGCACGGGUGCGUAACGCGUAUGCAAUCUACCUUUUACAGAGGGAUAGCCCAGAGAAAUUUGGAUUAAUACCUCAUAGUAUUAUGAAAUGGCAUCAUUUUAUAAUUAAAGUCACAACGGUAAAAGAUGAGCAUGCGUCCCAUUAGCUAGUUGGUAAGGUAACGGCUUACCAAGGCUACGAUGGGUAGGGGUCCUGAGAGGGAGAUCCCCCACACUGGUACUGAGACACGGACCAGACUCCUACGGGAGGCAGCAGUGAGGAAUAUUGGACAAUGGGCGCAAGCCUGAUCCAGCCAUGCCGCGUGCAGGAUGACGGUCCUAUGGAUUGUAAACUGCUUUUAUACAGGAAGAAACCCUGGUUCGUGAACCAGCUUGACGGUACUGUAAGAAUAAGGAUCGGCUAACUCCGUGCCAGCAGCCGCGGUAAUACGGAGGAUCCAAGCGUUAUCCGGAAUCAUUGGGUUUAAAGGGUCCGUAGGCGGUUUAGUAAGUCAGUGGUGAAAGCCCAUCGCUCAACGGUGGAACGGCCAUUGAUACUGCUAAACUUGAAUUAUUAGGAAGUAACUAGAAUAUGUAGUGUAGCGGUGAAAUGCUUAGAGAUUACAUGGAAUACCAAUUGCGAAGGCAGGUUACUACUAAUUGAUUGACGCUGAUGGACGAAAGCGUGGGUAGCGAACAGGAUUAGAUACCCUGGUAGUCCACGCCGUAAACGAUGGAUACUAGCUGUUGGGGGGCAACUUCAGUGGCUAAGCGAAAGUGAUAAGUAUCCCACCUGGGGGAGUACGUUCGCAAGAAUGAAAUC
rnacentral:rRNA from 1 species